GUAGUCAUAUGCUUGUCUCAAAGAUUAAGCCAUGCAAGUCUAAGUAUAAGCGAUCUAUACUGUGAAACUGCGAACGGCUCAUUAAAUCAGUUAUAAUUUAUUUGAUAGUACCUUUACUUGGAUAACUGUGGUAAUUCUAGAGCUAAUACAUGCCAAGAACCCCGACUUCGGAAGGGGUGUAUUUAUUAGAUUAAAAACCAAUGCCCUUCGGGGCUCCUUGGUGAAUCAUAAUAACUUAACGAAUCGCAUGGCCUUGUGCCGGCGAUGGUUCAUUCAAAUUUCUGCCCUAUCAACUUUCGAUGGUUGGGUAGAGGCCAACCAUGGUGGCAACGGGUAACGGGGAAU
rnacentral:rRNA from 2 species